UUCCUUUCCCUCUCUCAUUGCGAAUUCCUCAAAGGCCAAUCUUCAAUUGCCCUAAUUCGCCCCUUUCCCCAUUUGAGGAUUCCUCUGAUCCUCCUUCACAGGAACGGCUUCAUCGUUUAUUCCCCCGAUCCUCUUUUCCAGGGGAGAAUUGUUCUGUUUUUUCUCUUGAAUUUUGCUUUGUUUUCAAUCGAUUUGUUCUUGUUUUUCUCUCUCUUCGGAAAGGUUAGGAUCUCGGCGACAUGAGCUUUCAAGAUAUCGAGGCUGGUCGCCCCUUUGCGUCUUCGAGGAGAGACCUCAUCAAUGGCAAACAAGAUCCCACGCAAGCCGUUGCUUCGGGUAUAUUUCAGAUUAAUACUGCCGUCGCUACGUUUCAGAGGCUUGUUAAUACCUUAGGAACGCCGAAGGAUACGCCUGAGCUACGAGAGAAGCUGCACAAGACCAG
rnacentral:misc_RNA from 1 species